UGAGCUUUGUACAUUUGCUGGUGCCGUUUGGGGCAGAGGACUUUCUCGGAUUGCUCUGGAAUGAUGAAGAGGGUGUCUCUCGUCCAAGAACUGAAAUGAUACCUUCAGGUACUCGAAAUUCCAAAGGGUUCACAUGGAAUCACAAGUCAGCUGAAGGCUAACCGGUUACUUACGUGCCCUAACCUUGAGACAAAAGCGUCAGCACGGGACAUGAUGCUCAAAUUAUUCCUUUACAUCCUGUGGUCCUUCCAGUGAUG